CCUUAAAUUCAGGGUCCUGCUCACAUGGGAAAUGCUUCCUGAGAGUCAUGGACCUCUCGUGCAAGAGCAGGAAACACCUGUGGUUCUUCCUCCUCCUGGUGGCAGCUCCCAGAUGGGUCCUGUCCCAGGUGCAGCUGCAGGAGUCGGGCCCAGGACUGGUGAAGCCUUCGGAGACCCUGUCCCUCACCUGCGCUGUCUCUGGUUACUCCAUCAGCAGUGGUUACUGGUGGAGCUGGAUCAGCCAGCCUCCAGGCAAGGGGCUGGAGAGGAUUGGGAACAUCUAUCAUAGUGGGAGAGCCUUCUACAACCCAUCCCUCAAGAGUAGAGUCACCCUAUCAGCAGACCCGUCCAAGAACCAGUUCUCCCUGAGGCUGAGCCCUGUGGCCGCCGCGGACACGGCCGUGUAUUACUGAGCGAGACACAGUGAGGGGAGGUGA